UACCAUAUUUGCCUUGUCACAACUCCUUUGCUUCUGUGGGUUUGUUUUACAACUGUAUGAUACCAGAGUUACAUCUACAGCACUUGCAUUUAUGUAUCUUCCCCGCCUUCCUCUCCCCAGCUCUCUUAACUGAUGCUAUAUUUUAUGCCCAAAUGUCCUUUCUCAGCUUUAACUUCCAAUGUGCAUUGUUGUGUUUUGUGUGUGGGGCUCUUAACUCUGUGGUCUUUUUGCAGCGGAAGAAGCCACUUAAUGCUUGCAAAGACAUGAGCACUCAGUAAUGUACUGAGUAAAGGCAACUGAGCUGGCACCAAAGCACUUAUUGAGAAUCUGAGAAGAUCUGAGAGAUGGUGAACUGAGUUUUGCAAACUGCUCAACUAUCAAAAUCCGGCGUGUCGUGGGGACUGUGUAAGAGCCAGUGAAUACUCAGAACUCACUUCUGGGACAUUACAUGCUGUUUUCAGGUGAUGUGGGUGCCAUGCUCAUACAGAAUGCUUUCCACGCUGGCUCCAGCAUCGCUUGCAAAGAGAGGAGCUGCUCUGCGAAGACUGCUGCUGCCAUUGGCUUCCAGGCAACGACAACUGCAGACGGCUCAGCUGGACAGCUCUUGAGGCUGGUGGGUGGCUGUGACUGAUGCAGCAGGGCAUGCAGUGGUUCUGGGGGAGAAGACGACCUCGCAAUGGUAACAGGCAGGCUACUGACUGGGGCCUUCACGUUCAACAUUUGUUGAGAAACAGAUCUUGAGAAUUGUAUUUGGGAUAGUCCCACAUCUGUGUUGGCCUCUGAUUCUUGACAGUCUUCCUUGUAGCUGCUGAGAAAUACUUCUCCAGAGAGAAUUCCCUCCAGAAUGAGGUGAUUCCUUCUAGAACAGGAAAUGCAGCAUCUUCCUAGGUAAACCCACCAUCCUCAAGUUUCCCAGUUGGGAUCCUACUUCAAGCACAGAAAGCACUGCUGUCAGAAUCCUGAUUACAUCACAGGACAGAAGAUGCUCACACAUAUAGCACAGAUCUCCAGUUAAGUGCUGCCCUGUGGGUGAGUACAGUGUUGUCACUCCUUUACUUUCAAUUAAUGAUGAAAGCUCCAUGAUGUUCCUGAAACAGAGCACUCAUCACCAAUCAAACAUCCCUGCUUUGGCUUGAAAAGGCAAGAGCCUUGGACAGCUACUCACCAAGAUGGUGUUUCCAGCUCCCCGAUGCUGCUCUGCUAGGUCCUGCUCACAUCAGAGCUGUCUGUUCUCAGUUUCAGCAGCCGUUUGUGCCAUUCAAGGGGCUGGCCUCAUGUUUCCCUUGACCACGAGCUCACCUUGUCUUCAAACCUUGUUUUCCAAAGGUGGUCCUCAUUUCUUCCCUUUUUCUUAUUUACAGACUGGGUGGCUAGAAAGGGAGAGUGAUGUCUUGGGCUGUGGGGUAUUCUGCCCACCCUCUGAGAGCCUGAGGAGGGCUGGUUUUAUAGAAAGGGAGGGAUGUAGGUAUGUGCAGAUGCGUUUAUGUUGUCAGAUAUCUAACUUAGCCAGUUUUGUAAAGUCAUACAAAGUAUUUUUAAUGAUAUCUGUACUUUGCAUAAAGCUAUGAAUGACAUAUGACAUGCACUGAGUAAUUCAGUAAAAUACUUUUCUU
rnacentral:lncRNA from 7 species